AACGAACGCUGGCGGCAGGCUUAACACAUGCAAGUCGAGCGCCCCGCAAGGGGAGCGGCAGACGGGUGAGUAACGCGUGGGAAUCUACCCAUCUCUACGGAAUAACGCAUGGAAACGUGUGCUAAUACCGUAUACGUCCUUCGGGAGAAAGAUUUAUCGGAGAUGGAUGAGCCCGCGUUGGAUUAGCUAGUUGGUGGGGUAAAGGCCUACCAAGGCGACGAUCCAUAGCUGGUCUGAGAGGAUGAUCAGCCACACUGGGACUGAGACACGGCCCAGACUCAUACGGGAGGCAGCAGUGGGGAAUAUUGGACAAGGGGCGCAAGCCUGAUCCAGCCAUGCCGCGUGAGUGAUGAAGGCCCUAGGGUUGUAAAGCUCUUUCACCGGUGAAGAUAAUGACGGUAACCGGAGAAGAAGCCCCGGCUAACUUCGUGCCAGCAGCCGCCGUAAUAC
rnacentral:rRNA from 1 species